rnacentral:lncRNA from 1 species
AAAAAAAAAGCCUGUGGAAGACUCAGCAGAACCCAGGAAGCGCAGAAUUGGGAGAAAAGUCUUUGGCUGGGGCUGUUUCAAGUCUCUGGUUCAAUGGGCUGCUCGAAGCCAGGACUGGGUAAUUCUUUCCAGACGUCUUGACUUCUCCUUCCCCGCCGUUGUUGCCCUUCUGCCUCCUCCAACUUAAGGGGGUCUUAACAAGAUCUUCUGAGGGGUGGACUUCUUUGGAACUCGACAGGACCUUGAAGACUGGGUUCUUAGUCCUUAUCACAUAUAUGGGCUAUAAUGAAUAAGUCUAAACAGAAAAGUCGAAUAAACUGGAAAUGAUGCUUUCAUCACGUCGCACAAGAAAAACACAUUUGUUGUUUCUCGCCUCUUGUAAUUCAUGACCCAUAAGACAAAAGUAAAAUGUUCUCUGACUGCAAAUGGAUGUAAAAACUGAUUAUACAGCUACACAUUUCUGUCAUCCUCCCAUCUCUACCCCAAAGAAAGAGGAGCUGUUUGGAUCAGAAGAUGACAUCCUUUCACCCAUCCCUUUCAGGUUUUGACAUCCUAAAAUGUACCUUAUGGAACCCAUACCUGUUAUGUUUUCACCUG